rnacentral:tRNA from 11 species
GUCGGGAUGGCCGAGUGGUCUAAGGUGCCAGACUCAAAUCCCACUUCUGACAUUGUAUUUUUUUUAUCGGCGUGGGUUCAAAUCCCACUUCUGACA